rnacentral:rRNA from 1 species
UGCGCAGGCGGAAUGAUUAGUCAGUGGUGAAAGCCCUCGGCUCAACCGAGGAACUGCCAUUGAUACUGUCAUUCUUGAGUACAGUUGUAGUGGGCGGAAAGUGUCAUGUAGCGGUGAAAUGCAUAGAGAUGACACAGAACACCGAUCGCGAAGGCAGCUCACUAAGCUGAAACUGACGCUCAGGCACGAAAGCGUGGGUGGCAAACAGGAUUAGAUACCCUGGUAGUCC